rnacentral:rRNA from 1 species
GACGAACGCUAGCGGCGCGCCUAACACAUGCAAGUCGAACGAGCGAGAGAGAGCUUGCUUUCUCGAGCGAGUGGCGAACGGGUGAGUAACGCGUGAGGAACCUGCCUCAAAGAGGGGGAUAACAGUUGGAAACGACUGCUAAUACCGCAUAAGCCCACGGUGCCGCAUGGCACAGAGGGAAAAGGAGCAAUCCGCUUUGAGAUGGCCUCGCGUCCGAUUAGCUAGUUGGUGAGGUAAUGGCCCACCAAGGCGACGAUCGGUAGCCGGACUGAGAGGUUGAACGGCCACAUUGGGACUGAGACACGGCCCAGACUCCUACGGGAGGCAGCAGUGGGGAAUAUUGCACAAUGGGGGAAACCCUGAUGCAGCGACGCCGCGUGGAGGAAGAAGGUCUUCGGAUUGUAAACUCCUGUUGUUGGGGAAGAUAAUGACGGUACCCAACAAGGAAGUGACGGCUAACUACGUA